rnacentral:rRNA from 1 species
GACGUAGGGCGCGAGCGUUGUCCGGAUUUAUUGGGCGUAAAGAGCUCGUAGGCGGCUUGUCGCGUCGACUGUGAAAACCCGAGGCUCAACCUCGGGCCUGCAGUGGGUACGGGCAGACUAGAGUGCGGUAGGGGAGAUUGGAAUUCCUGGUGUAGCGGUGGAAUGCGCAGAUAUCAGGAGGAACACCGAUGGCGAAGGCAGAUCUCUGGGCCGUAACUGACGCUGAGGAGCGAAAGCAUGGGGAGCGAACAGG